UGCGGCGGCCCGGGCGGUCGGUGUGGUACUGAUCGUUUGAUCAUAUUUACGCGGUGCUUAGAGAACAUGUGCUCCUUUUUUUGUGUGGAUUAACGAUCACUAAGCCCUGGGUCCUGUGCAACGCUAUUAACUCGCUGUAUGUUUCUUGCGGUGCGCCGUUGUUGAUUAUCGUAGUGUGGUCCACACGCGCUUUCUUUGUGCCCGGCUCAUGAGAAACUUGUGUACUCUCGCCGCUCCCGCAUCGGGUCACAGUGCACGGAAGAAUGUGCUGAUAGUUGUGCUAUCGCGUGCUGUAGUUCACCGCAAUUCAACACUACGCUGGACGGACUGUUGGUGCAGUCGAUGCGGCGUGAACGGACACGAAGGAGCGCUCGCCUCGGAAGAGACGGAGGCAUCUCUGCACCACAAAGGAGACUGCGGCACUAUGCAGCCUGAACAGCACGACAAAGCAUCUGAUCUGCCUGCUUUGACAAGAUGUGGCUGGGCCUACAGAAAGAGUGUAAGCAGACUACUGUGUUGCUGAUCAGUGCUGGUGCUGAUCUCUACGUCUGAAUUAGCCUCACAACGUCCAGGCACCACUGUGCUUUGCUUCAUUAACAAGAUGCAUACGAGCACUUUGUGUCAAAAACGCUGAGCACUGUGGAUACAGAGGCAAGGAGGCUGAAGGACCUGAACAAGCACCUGGCCACCAUGCUUCGGGAUGCAAAAUAAAGAUGGUUUGUGUUAA